ensembl:lncRNA
GUGCUUCUGAGCACAUCAAUCCCUGUCCCCACCUUUCUCUGCCCACUCCCCACCCCCAACCGGGCCAGCCCUGGGUCCCCACUUCCUGGCCCUGAGUGGACAGGACCGUGUGGCCCAUGCCCAGGCAGAGCUGGGAGCAGCUCUCUGUGUCUGGUCAGUGACCAGGCUCUCUUUCGUUUUGCAGGCCUUCCCCAUGGGGCUUCGAGGCCUCUGCGGCCUGGGCCUGGAUGCUGCCAGGGAUCCGUGCGAACAGGGCCCUGCUACAGACAAACGAGGCCCCGUCUUGCACGCCCCCACCCUCACGCCAGGCAAGCUGGGCCCGCAGGAAGUUUCCUUCAUCACGACCAGCUUAUUGCCUUGACAACAAAAUUCGGUCAAAGUAAAACAGAGAACCAGCACGAGGUUACCAGAGUCACACGUUCCUGGCUGGAAAGAAGUCGCAGCAAACUGCAGAAUGCUUGGGUCUGGGUCCUUCCUCGCAGCCCCAAGGCAAGGCUGUGGGGCGCGACCUUCUGCCACGCUUGGUGGCCUGGUGAUCACUCGUAACUCAUGUUGAAUUGCAUUGGUUUUGAAGGCAAGACUUUAAGGAAGGGCUCCUUCUGCUUUUCUUUUCUUCUGCAUUAAAAAACAUUUUUUUUUUAAGUUUAUUUAUUUUCAGAGAGAGAGAGAGAGAGAGAGCAUGAGCAGGGGAGGGGGCAGAGAGAUAGAGGGAAACACAGAAUCGCAAGGAGGCUCUGCGCUGUCAACGCAGAGGCCAACACGGGGUUUGAACCCCUGAACCAUGAGAUCGUGACCUGAGCCAAAUGAAACCAAGAAUCAGAUGCCUAACCGACUGAGUCACCCGGUGCCCCUCUUCUGGGUUUUAAAUUGUAAACACAGCACAUUUCACAAAAAGAAGGUAGCUUCCCUGUUCAGCUGAAACUUCCGGUUGGAGGAUGUGGAUUCAGAUGUGUUGUGUUAGCCACGUAGUCUGACCCUGGGCCAGUUAAACAGUGAUCCUGGAGGAGGGAGGGGGGGAGGGGGGAGACAAGCCCGCCUUCCUGCCUCUCAGGCUCAGGGGGCUCAGGGCUGGCAUGCCCACCUGCCACCUGGGCUCGGGAACAUGGCAAAGCCUGGAACAGUAGGAGGCCCCACGAGCCACAGCCGCCAGACUUGGUGGCCUGCUCAGAGCCACCCAGCAACACUUCUGAGGUUCCCGCGCUCUGCGCCAUGCAUGUGUCAAACCUCACUCUAGAAUUCUCCCAGCUGCACCCCGCUGCCCUGCUCAGCAGGUGGCCCCAUACUUUAUUUCACCAAGAAGAUAGAAGCCAUCAGGGUGAACCGCUCUUCACUUUUGCUAGAAAUCCUUGAACUUUUCCUGCACCUGCACCCCUCCCAGCCUUGUCCUCACCGGGCUCACGGGCUCCUGCCCCUCCCAGUCCCCUCCCAGACUCCGAGCCAUCAGCCUGACCUCGUCUUUCACCUCUCCCAUUCCCGUCUGAUGAAGUCUCUCCCUGGAUCCCUCCAGCGGCUGCCUCAUCUCGCCCCCUCCUCUUCACAGCUGGGCUUCAAGCCGCCUGUGCCUCAUCCUGCUCCAACCUGACACCGGUGUUCCCGGUCAUCUCCGAUUCCACGGAGGCUCACGGCCUCCACACUCCUUCGGCAAGCCUCCCCCAGCCCCGCUGCUCAGCCGGCCAGACGCCCUGUCCGCCACUCGUUCCCUGGAAUGCUCAUCUUCUCACCUAGGAAACUACCCUCCUAGUGUCCUUCGUUCCUUGCAGGCUUCUCCCUGCCUGUUUCUGGAAGGUUGUUUGCCUUGGCUUCUGCCCUGUUCUGCUUUGUCACACUUCCUGAGGCAGGUCCAGCUGGGGGCCAGGGGAAACCUCACAUGAGUGAGGCAGGCUGGGUGGGGGGAUAGGGAGCGGUGGGGUCUGGGGCACCCAGGGGGCGAGAGAGCCUCAGAAAGGCGGUGGGCACACCUCAGCACUAGCAGGUGAUUGCCAAGGGCAAGGUCGGCAACGUUUUCUAAAGGGCCAGACACCACAAGUGUGGCAGGCUUCGUGGCCCCAUGUCAUCUCUGUCACUUAUUCUUUGUUUUAACAACCCUGUAAGAGUGAAAAGGAAUUCUUAGCUCUAAGGGUCACAGAAACCCAAGCCAAGGGUCACAGCUCGCGUGCAGGCUGCAGUUUGCUGACCCCCGGGAAGGAGUGAAGGCAAGCCCAGAGUGGCUAAGCGGUUCUGGUUUUCCAGAGAACCCAGAAAUCCAGACUUUAUCUGAGAUCUCUUGGUUACCAAUGCUGACAUUUAGAACCUUCCGGGAGUGCCUGUCUCCAGAUAGCCCCUGAGCAUCUUGCUGCCACUGGAAACGUGUCCACCCAGGACCUUGUUCAUCAUUAUGCUCCUCCCCCCUCCCCCAAGCUGGGUUCACAGACUCAGCAACUGGUAACAGCCCCCACUAGAGACAGUCAGCCGGAGUCUUUGCCCCUCACACCCACAUCACCAGCACAGUGUGGCCGAUCCUUCUUCCUGAAUCCCUGUCCACCUGGCUCUGUCCUCAGUGCCGCUGUCCUGUGUCAGACGACCAUCACAUCAUUGCUUGAGAACCACAGCCUCCUGCUUAAUCCCUCUCCUAAUCCUUUCCAUGGCCCAAAUGAUCUUUCUACAAUGCAAAUUGCAAUUCUGGUCAAGGCCCUCCCAAGCCUGAGACUCCUUCGCUGUUGGGUAAGAUCCUAACCUUUGGUUGGUCUCCACGGCUCCUGGUGGUCAGGUCCCCUGCACCCCCCCGCACUCACCCCUCCUGCCCGUGGGCCACGUCUAGUUCCUGAAAUGAGCCAAGUGCUCUCUCACUUCCAGGUCUUUGCAUCUGCUAACGUGGCCUAUGGGCCCCUGGAUCCCACAUACUGCCAUGUUCAUAUCUCAACCCCUGCCUGCCAGUGCCCUCUUUCCCCUCUUCCUCCCUCCCUCCCUUCCUUUAAAUAUAACAGCUUUACAGAUAUGUGAUUCACAUGUCAUAUCAUUCAGCCAUGUAAAGUAUAAAACUCAGUGGUUUUUAGUAUAUUGAGUUGGGCCACCAUUUCUACGGUCAAUUUGGGAACAUGCUCCUCAAUGUCCCAAAGAGAAGCCCUAUACCUGUAAGUGGUCACUCCUCCUCCCACCUCUGCUGCUGCCCUGGCCUUAGGUCAGCACUCGUCCUGUUUUCUGCCCCCAUCGCUUUGCCUUUCCCAGACAUUUAGCAUGGAUGGAGUCAUAGGAUAAGUGGGUUUUGGUGAUCGGCUUCUUUCCCUUAGCACAUUUCAAGGUUCAUGUACCAGUAUUUCAUUUUUUCUUUACACUUUUUUAAAUGUUUAUUUUUGAAAGAAAGAAGUGGGGGGUGGGGAGGAGCAGAGAGAGAGGAAGACAGAGGAUCCAAAGCAGGCUCUGUGCUGGUAUCAAAGAGCCAAUGCGAGGCUUGAACUCACAAACCAUGAGAUCAUGACCUGAGCUGAAGUCCAGCACUUAACCCACUGAGCCACCCAGGCACCCCGGUGCUUCAGUUUUUAUUGCUGACUAAUAGAGCUUUGUAUGGACAUACCACAUUUCAUUUAUCGGCUCAUCACCCACGAUGGUAACUUUACCUGCUGUGUCCUUGUGUUCUGAAAUGCAAUAUUCUUUGGCCAGGAGCCUGCGUGUUUGUUCAGGUCCUAUAGAGUGAAGGAAAGGAGAAGCUUAUGCAACUCGAAGAUCUUUUGCAGAGAGAUCAACUCAGGGAGAAGGGGAGGCAGAGGCAUGAAAGUUGAUGAGGAUAAACCCACAUCAGUCAAGGGAGGAAGGGGAUGCUCGGACCGCCAGCUCAGACGCUUGGGCAGGGCCAUCCUUGCACCGCACAGAUGGGAUUCCUUCUUCUCAGAAACAAAGACAGCAGGGUAGAAAAGGAAACCAAGGGUUCUAUGUUUUUUGGCUGAAGGCUGCUCCACAGCAGUGCUGAGCAAACACCUUCAGCAUCUGAAUAUUCUGGUUGCCUUUGAGUCAUCCGGAUUCCUUGUAUGUUUCAAAAUUUCGCCCCUUCUUGGCGAAAUGACUUGCAAAUAUUUUCUCCCAUUCAGCAGGAUGCCUUUUCAUUUUGCUGACUAUUUCUUUUGCUGUGCAGAGCACAGCAUGUGAAUAUCCAGUUAUCCCAGCUCGACUUACUAAAGUAUUGAGUACAGUCAAAUAUUAGUUGAUCGUGUAUGUGUGGGUUUAUUUCUGGAUUCUGUUCUGUUGGUCUGUGUGUCUUUGUGCCAAUACUGUACCAUUCUGGUCACUAGCUCUGUAAUAAAGUUUGAAAUGAGGAAUUGUGAUGCCUUCAGCUUUAUUCUGCUUUCUCAUGACUGCAUUGGCUACCCAGGGAUUUUUAUGGUUUCACGCAAAUUAAAAAGAAUUUUUCUGUUUCUGUGAACAGCGCCGUUGGGAUUUUGAUAGGGAUUGAGUUGAUCGGUCUGCAGAUGAUUGUGGGUGG